UGCAGUCCUUCUUCUUCUCCUCCCGACCCUAAGCGCCGAAAGGUGGUCGGGACCGCAUUUGCUGGGGAUGAUGUUCCAGCAGGUGGUUUUGCAGGAACUGCUAGGACUGACCCAUCGACUACUUCUGCAGGGGUCGUGACCAUUGCCGUGGCAGGUACCUCGCCGGGACACCCCGCGCCCUCGGCUGGUGUGACCCCGCCACCGGCAAUGAGUACCGUGGUUGUAAAACCACGGGUAUUGAGACUUAAGAAAUCCGGCAUGAAGAAAUCGUCUCUAUGAGUGCAUCUCCUUGUUCAUAAUGUAUCUUCUGUUCUUUCGACUUGUUUGAUGAUAUAUCCGAUUCUGCUUUGUUAGGACUUCGUCUGCUUUGGGGUUGGAUGAGCCAAAGCCUAUCUCGGCUACUCCAACCCCCGAGCCGCUAGUCGGACAACCUGAAGCGGAAAGCACACAACUGCUGCCUCCCGGAAAUGAGGACGCGACGUAGCCCAACCCACCACCUCCCGAGCCCCAGCAAAUCGAAUCCAAUGUUGGUGGUGGUGAACAAGUCGAGGCCACCGAUGCCGCUCCUGCGGAUGGCACAGGUAAGUGUCUGACCCCCUGCGGCUAACUGCUUAGACCGCAGGCUUCAUGUAUUGAAUGCUUUUCGACUUGCAGGUGCCCCGCAGCCAUCAACUGAAGAGGCUGUGGGUGCUUCUAGAAACUCUGGAACUCUGUUGACGUCUGGGAGAGGAUACAAGAACAUUAUCACCAAAGAUCUGUUGGAUGAUCCUCUCCUCUCGGUCGACAACAUGAGGUAUUUCCAGAAGAUCUCCAAGGAGAUGUACAAGUUCACCCUAGUAAGGCCUGACUGCUCUUCUGCCAUUAUACUUUAUCGAGUUGUUUUGUCUUCUCAGUCUUCCUCCUUGUACAGGAUGUGGCCAAACGCUCUCAAGAAAAAUCUAAGAAGCUGAAAGCAGUUGAGAGUGGCCUCCAAGAGCUCCAAGUGAAGGAUCGACGCAUCGAGGAAGAACUCUGAAAGAACAUCUAUCUUCGCAAGGAGCUCGACAAGCUGAAGCAGGAGCGGACACGGGAAACAUGGCUGCUCAAGAACAACAUCCAUAAUCUUGAGAAGUCCAACUCCGAGCUCCAAGAAUAGCUCAAGGAGUAGAAAAAAGUGCAUCAAGGCAAGUCCCUUCCUUGCUCGAGUACUUUCUCUAGCAGUUGGUCUUGUGUUCUGAAACAUUGUCUUCACCGCAGAGGUUAAGAAACUCUUAACUUAUAAAGAAGAGUUACUUACUGACGUGAAGAAUAUCCUAUAUCGUCACACAGAUGAUGUCAAGAAGCUGCAAAAGGUGAUCGCUAAUACUGAGCAGCAGUUCGUCGAUUGCCUUCAGCAGAUCAAGACGCUGGGCGAAGAGAAGGAAUAGCUCCAGAAGGAGCUGGAGGACCUAAGGGUGGCCGCCCAACAGCUGGUUGAAGUAGUGGAUCCACAAGAAGACGGCGCAGCAGACGGACGAUCCCUACUGGAGCGACUCCGCGGAGCUCCGCAGAAAGUCCUCAGCUUCAUCGCCGAGGCCCCCACCACAUAUGUUAGCCACGCCUUAGGUCUUGUGAAGUCAUUUUGGCCUAAGGCUCGACUAGAGGUACUCGCAUAGGGUGCGGCUGCGGACUGCUUUGAAGAGCAGUUCAGCGAGUACCUUCUAGAGGCUAGGCCUGUAGCUGAAAAAUAGUAGAGAGUAUAGUAUAGGAUUGAGUUAUUGUAAAGACAAGUAUUCUUCUCUUUGUAAUAUAUCUGUCAGAGCUAUCUGUACUAUCAUUGCCUUGUGAUUUCUGGAUUGCCAUCCACGUUCAUAGGCUAAGUAGUAGACACUAUCCCGGGUGCAGCGACUCUGGGAGUAGUCGAUAUAGCUCCUCAAGUGAGCCCAUCAAACAAGUUAGAUUAAAUCCGAUUGAGCGGAUCUAACCUGUUUAGAGUACGCGAUCCUCAUCGUGACGACUAUCAUGCUCGUAGCAAGUAGUCAAUACUAUCCCGAGUGAAGCGACUCUGAGAGUAGUCGAUAUAGCUCCUCAAGUGAGCCCAUCAAACAAGUUAGAUUGAACCCGAUCGAGCGGAUCUAACCUGUUCGGAGUACGCGAUCCUCAUCGCGAUGACUAUCAUGCUCGUAGCAAGUAGUCAAUACUACCCCGAGUGCAGCGACUCUUGGAAUAGUUGAUAUAGCUCCUCAAGUGAGCCCGUCAAACAAGUUAGAUUGAGUCCGAUCGAGUGGAUCUAGCCUGUUUGGAAAAACGCGAUCAUCAUCACGACGACAGCUAUGCUCAUGGCAAGAAGUCGAUUUAUAUAAAACUUGAACAUGGCUAUAGCCUCCGAAUUUUAAUAGAAAAUUUACAUUCUUGAUUCUGUGGCACAUGGCCUCCAAAUUGAAUCGGAAAGAAACCGCCUUGGCGCUCGAAGAACAGCUAUCACUGCGUGUCUUCUUAUGGAUAAAACUUGCUUAGGUUCUAUACAUUCCAGGAAUUUGGGGCGUCUUGGCCCUCGGGUUAUUGGAGUCGAUAAGACCCUGGUCUUGUAACCUGCUUGACGAUGAACGGUCCUUCCCACCUCGAAUUGAGCUUAUGUAAUCCUUACUCAUCUUGGAUGCGGCGUAGGACCAAAUCGCCUAUAUUGAGCGACCGUUCUCUGACAUUGCGGUCGUGAUAUCGUCGGAUCCCCUGUAGGUAUCGUGCUGACUGAACAAGAGAAGCGCAGCAAGCCUCUUCGACAGAGUCAAGCUCUAGCUGCCUUGCUUCGUCCGUCUCGCCUUCAUUGUACAUUUCAUAAAAUUGCUUCGGAGCCGUAGACAAGAAAAAAUGGCGUUUGUCCUGUGGCUUUUGACGGCUGAGUCCUGAGCCCCCAGAUGACAUGUGGCAACUCAUGUAUCCACUUUCCGCCUUUCUUGCUAUUUUCAUCAUAGAGUCUUUUCUUGAGGCCCUCGAUUAUCAUGCCGUUCGCCCUCUCGAUUUGAUCGUUGGCUCUUGGGUGUGCAAUGGAGACGUAUUUGACUUCGAUGCACACAUUUUCACAGAACUCCAAGAACUGGUUAGCCAUGAAAUUUGAUCCCAGGUCCGUGAUGAUGGUAUUCGGGAAGCCGAAGUGAUGCAGGAUGUCGGAGAUGAAAUCAACGACUCUGUCUGGUGUGAGUUUGGUUAUCGGCUUGUACUCGAUCCACUUGGUAAACUUGUCGAUCGCUACUAAUAUGUUGGUAAAACCGCCUAGCGCCAUUGUAAAUGGCCCAAUCAUAUCAAGGCUCCAGCAGGCAAACGGCCAGGAUGGCGGUAUGGUGAUAAGAUUGUGGGCUGGGACGUGAGAUUGCUUGCCAAAGAAUUGGCAGUUUUGGCAUCUCCACACCAGGUCUUCAGCGUCUGACACUGCGGUGGGCCACCAAAAACCAGCUCUAUAUGCUUUCCCAUCUAGCUUUCUUGAAGCUGCUUGGUUGCCGCAUACUCCAUCGUGUAUCUCCUGCAGUAUGUCAUAGCCGUCUUCUCCCGUGACGCAUUUCAUGAGUACACCUGAUCGUGCGCCACGCCGGUAGAGUUUAUUGUUGACUAGGACAAAACCUUUACUUCUGCGCAUGACACAAGCUGCCACUGCACUUUUUGCAUCCAUCCCUGCUUGUAGUCUUUGGUCCCGGAUGAAGUUGAUGUAAGUUUCUCUCCAGUCCUCCCCAAGCAUUAUAACCUCCCGAUCGGGCUUCUAAAGGCCAGUAUUAGUGGUUAUCUAAGGUGAGGACUUGAUGGAAGGUUGCUUCAGCUCCUGGAUGAAAACUCCGGCUGGGACUUGUGCAUGGGUGGAUCCUAGCUUGGAUAGUAUAUUUGUGCCGACAGUGUGUUCCCGUAUCACGUGAUGAACCUCCAGUCCGGAAAAUUUAUUUUCCAGCUUGCGUACUUCUUGUAUGUAGGCGUCAAAUGUCUCCUUGUUGCAGUCCUACUCUUUGUUGAUUUGCUGAACGACCAGAAGUGAAUCGCCGUAUACAAGUAGUCGCUUGAUACCUAGUGAUAUCGCCAAACAGAGCCCCUAAAGCAAGGCUUCAUACUCGUCUUCGUUAUUGGAUACCUCCCAAAGGAUCUGGAGGACAUACUUCAGUUGUUCGCCUUUCGAGGAGAUAAAUAGGACUCUAGCACCUCCACCAUCGAGCUUAAGUGAUCCAUCGAAAUAUAUGGUCCAAUGCUCUGGCUUAUCGACUGGAAUUGGAAUCUGGUUCUCUCUCCAUUCGGCCAGCUUGAGACUUAAUUGCAGUGUGUGGCUUGAAGUCGAUUGACAGAGCCCCCAGUUCCACUGCCCACUUUGAUAUACGUCCCGUGACAUCCUGAUUGUGUAGAAUAUCCGCCAAUGGAAAAUCCGUAAUCACUGUGAUCUUGUACUCAUCGAAGUAAUGGCGUAGCUUUCUUGAUGUGAUCAGUAUCGCAUAUAGGAGUUUCUGAACUGCCGAGUAUCAUACCUUACAUUCGGAGAGUACCUCGCUGACGAAGUACACGGGCCUCUGCACUCCAAAUGCAUGGCCCUCCUCGCUGCGUUCGACGAUGAUGGCACUGCUGAUGACAUGGGUUGUCGCCGCAAUAUAGAGUAGUAGAUUUUCUCCCGACAGUGGUACUUUGAGGACCGGGGGUGACUGUAGGUGUUGUUUCAGAUCCUGUAGGGCCCGCUCGGCCUCUUCCAUCCACUGGAACUUGUCUUGGCGCUUCAAGAGUUUGAAGAAGGGUAGUCCCCUCUCCCCGAGUCGGGAGAUGAACCUGUUCAGGGCUGCCAUACAUCCUAUUAGCUUCUGCACAUCCUUGAUUGUGGCCGGAGCCUCCAUGUCAGUGCUGGCCAUGAUCUUUUAAGGAUUGACUUCAAUUCCUCGAUGGCUGACAAUGAACUCGAGCAAUUUCCCUGAAGGUACUCCGAAAACGCACUUUGUUGGGUUGAGCUUCCACCGAAACUUUCGUAAGCUGUUGAAUGUUUCUUCUAAGUCUGCAAUCAGGUCCUUAGGAUUCCUGGUCUUGAUGACCAUGUCAUCCACCUAGGCCUCAACAUUCCGAUGUAGCUGAUCAGCGAAGCACAUUUGAAUUGCGCGUUGAUAGGUUGCACCUGCAUUUUUCAACCCGAAAGACAUAGUUUUGUAGGCAUAUGUCCCGAACGGGGUGAUAAACACGGUCUUUAUUUGAUCUUCCUCCUUGAGCGUGAUCUGGUGGUACCCCGAAUAGCAGUAAAGGAAAUAGAGGAGUACACAACCCGCCGUCGAGUCGAUGACUUGAUCGAUGCGCGGCAGCCCGAAGUGGUCCUUUGGGCAAUGCUUAUUGAGAUCGGUGUAGUCAACGCAUAUUCUCCAUUCAUUGUUCAUUUUCUUUACAAGGACAGGAUUAGCUAGCUACUCUGGAUGGAUUACUUCUUUAAUGAAGCCAGCGACGAGGAGUUUAGCUAUUUCCCUUUUGAUGGUCUCUCGUUUGUCUUGAGCAAACCUGCGAAGGCGUUGCUUUUUGGGCACAGCUUGUGCGUGUACAUUUAGACUAUGCUCGAUCAGUUCCUUGGGCACCCCUGGCAUAUCCGCUGGUUUCCACGCGAAUAUGUCUCGGUUAGCCCGAAAGAAACUGACGAGCGCGAUUUCCUAUUUCUCACCUAAGCCUGCACCGAUGACAGCGGUCUUAGAUGAGUCGCCCUCCUGGAGCUGGAUCGUCUUGAGGGCCACGUCGACGGUCGACUGGAUGCUCGACUUGCUUGCCUUUCUUGUUAGGAUUUCCAGCCUGGCUUGGGAGAGUUGUUGCGCGGCCGCGAGUACUUCUCCUGAAGCAUCUAGCACACGCGUAUUGGAUGGCCUCCUGGUUGCAGUCAUACAACUUCUUCAAGUCGCCUCGGAGAGUGAGUACCCUACUUCAUCCUGGCAUCUUGAGAAGUAGAUAAACAUAGUGCGGCACUGCCAUGAAUUUGGCCAGCGCCAGCCUGCCUAGUAUGGCAUGAUACGAAGAGUCGAAGUUGGCAACUUCGAAUUUGAUGAACUCGGUACGGUAGCUCUCCCUCGUGCCGAAGGUGACUAAAAGGACCGCCGUACCAAGUGGAUGCGCUGCGUUGCCUGGGACUAUGCUGUAGAAGGAAGACUUGCUUGGGAUGAGCAUGUCCGUUAAGUCCAAGCCCAUCUUUCUCAACGUGCUGGCGAAGAUGAGGUUGAGACCGCUUCCACCGUCGAUGAGUACUCUGGUGAGUUUGACUUCUGCCACCACCAGGUCUAGGGUCAGUGGGAAUUUGCCGGGCUCCAAGAAGCUGGUCCAUUGAUCGUCUGGUGAGAAUGAGAUGGGGACCUCCAACCAUCGGAGUGGUCGUGGUACCGCCGGCUCGACGGACAUGAUUUCUCAGAGUAGUAGUUUCUGGUCCCUCCUGGAACUGAACUCUUCGUCACCUCCGAAGAUGAUGUUGAUGGUUUUCGAGGCAUCUUGGAAUUUCACGUUAUGCGAUUUGUCCUCUUGGUCGUCCUCUUUAGGCUCUAUAUCCAUUGACUUGUUCUUCUUGUUAUUGCUGGGAUUGCUGAAUGUUCUCCGGAGGUGGUAGCAAUCAAUUGCCGUAUGAUUGGCACCUAGAUGCCAUGGGUAUUUCUUUUGCAAGAGCUUUUCGAAUUGCUCCUGCAUCGUUGUCUUCCUGCCUCGUGGAGGACGAUCCACAGCCACGACGAGGUUGUCUGGCUUGCGCUUUUGAGAUGAACCCGAGUAGUCCCGCUGACACUUGUCGGUACGCUUGUCAUUUAUGCACCUCGGGAACCGUUCACACAUCUUCUCCUCUUGAUCGGACCAAUCGUGCAUCAUGUCAUGAAGUUCGGCAACAGUUUUUGGUUUGUUCCGCCCAAAGUCUCUAUAGAUGUCUAGGUCCCUGAGGCCAUUGUAGAAGCAGACGAUGAUGUCCUCUUCCGAGAUGUUCACAAUGGUAGCUCGCACGUCGAAGAAACGACGUGUGUAUGAUCGUAGGAGCUUGUUGCGUUCCUAUUUACACUGAGCAAGGUCAUGACGAGUACUUGCGCGGCGAUCGCCCCCUAGAAGUUGUCGAUGAUGACUUUCUUGAGCCCCUCCCAGUAAUCGAUCGAGUUGUUGCUGAGGCUCUCCAACCAUGUGAGCAGUGCAGGGUCCACAGCCAUCGGGAAGUAGACGACCUUGGUGGUAUUGGAGCCUCCUGCGACUUCUAUGGUGGUAGAGUAACAUCGUAGCCAUUGCUGAGGAGCUUGUUUGCCGUCGUACUUGGUGAUCCCAAUUAGCUUGAAGUCCUUAGGAUACUUGUAACUGUUGAACCGUGCUGUGAACGCUGAAAAGCGAUCACUGCAGUCGGUACCUUCUGGAUCGGCUACUUCACGCUCUCUGCGUCUGGAAUCAAUUAUGGAUUGCGCAUCGCGUCCUUCAUUGAUUUUCUUGCAUAGGUCUUCUUGAGGAUUCCAAUGGUUGGGAUGAUUAGGUUGUCGCGGGUUGCCUCCUGGAGGUGGCUGCUGCCUCCUGCUAGUGGCCUGACUUCCACGAGCAUUGUCAUUGUUAUUACUUCGUUGAGGUCGAGGACGGCCGUCUGUCGUUCGACUAUUAGCCUGGCUGCGGCUUUCACCCAUGAGUUCUGCUCCGAUGGUUGACGCUGGGUUUUGUCGAUCGAGUUGGAUCCAUGCUCUUUGUGCGUAGCGAAGUGCUUGGCGCAGGUUUGGAUCGUUGCUACGUUCUAGUAUGGCAGUUACCCUGGCGAUGUUAACCCCGGGGGUUCUAAACCCCCGCUCGCUCACGACGGCGAAUUCGGCGUCUAGCUCACGAUGCAUAGAUCGCAUGCGCUCGUUGACCCUCCUUCGCCGGGCUGCGUGGGCUCUGUUCCUGGCCCUUCGUGCCUCACGCUCAGUGUCAUUUUCAUUGCUGGCGUUGGCUGUGGCCUCGUCUUCGGAUAUCAUGUAAAGUGUUUCGUUGGGUGAGAUGCCAUCGUCCUCGCCCUCUUCUACCAUCAACACUUGGCGUAAUAUGAGUUCGUCGGAGCUCGCUUCGACUAGCUCGAUUGAUUCUUCUACCGUGGUGGCUAAUGGCUUGCCCUCCUGAAAAGGCAAGGGCUUGAGGUGUGCCAUGAGUCGGUCUUCAUCUUCGAGUAGAUCGAAGAGUUUCAUGCCCUUCCAAUGCACGAAACGACCUUCUGGGGUGGAGGUGAUCAUCAGACCAUUGUGACGCCCUAAAAAUUUACCAAAAUCAAAUCACGCGUUAGAACGUUUCGAUUAAAGACCACUCGUCGCCAGACCAUAGCCCUAACCCCUGACCGCAUCGCCAUCACAUCCCGCGCCGCUCGGAAGCCUGCCGUCCGCGCGCGGUCAUCGCCGCGAAUAGCGCCGGCGCAAGUCAUUUCUCGCGCAGCGCGCGAAUCCCGCGCGCGCGUGGCCGAUCGGCCGCGGCUGCGGCCGCGAUUGGCGCUGACGCGUUUUCUUUUCCCCUCGCCGUUCCCCCUCGCACCGCGCGCUUCCCCGCGUGGCCGACCGGCCGCGGUCACCGCCGCGACCGGCGCCGGCCCCUCUCCCUCUCUCUUUUUCUUUUCUUUCUUUCCCUUUAUUUCUUUUUCCCUUUUUCCUUUUCUCUCCUUUUCCUUUCUUUCUUUUCUCCCUCCUCUCCCUUUUCUUCCUCCCCCCUUCCUCCCUGUUUUCCUCCUGCUCCUGAACACCGCCGGCCUUGGCUGCUCGCCGCACCAGCCACGCCAGCCCCUUUCCCCCCUGCGUGCGUGCCCGUGCGCCAGCCCCGCCCUCGCCCUGGCCGCGCCGUACCGCGCCGCUCGCGCACGCGCGUGCCCGCCCCGGAACGCGGCCGCGCCGCCCGUCGUCAAGCCGUGCCGCCCGCCGCUGCUCUCCACCGCGCCCUGCGCGCACGAGCACGCCCUGUUCCUCCGCGUGCCGCGCCGCCCGCUGCUGCCGCACACCGCCGCCGUCCUGGACACGCACUGCACACCGCGUCGCGACACGGACGAACGGACAAGCCGCCAUUAAUGGCGCCCGCGGAGCCGCCGGCCGAGACCCCCUCCACCGCCCUUCCCCCGGCCUAUAAAUAGCCUUCCCCGCACCUCGGCACCCCCACCAUCGCGCCAUCACCACCAGCUCCCUUCCCCAAGCUUCCACCGCCGCCCCCGCCGAGCCGCACGGCCGCCGCCGCCUGCCCCACGCCGGCCCGCCGCCUCGCGCAGCCCCCGCCCGAGGUGAACCCCAAAAAGGGACCCCCUCUUCCUCCUCCCCCUUUUCCCCCACACGCCCGAGCCGAUUAGGCCCUAGGGCCGCCGGAUUUGGGGCCGGCCGAGCCCCCCCCAUCCCUCCUCUGUUUCACGUGGUGAGGGGAGGAAGAAGAAGGGCAGUUUUGCCCAAAACCCCCCCCUUCUCCUCUAUUUAGUUAAAAGCCCCUCCACCCUUUGACCCCUUUGCGAAAAGAACCUAUUCCUUUUUGCUAUUUCCAAAACUAGACCCCCCCCCCAUGAUAUAAAUUUAAUUUCAAGUAGAUCCCUCGCACUUUUUGUUGUGCCUCUUAUGUUUCCAAGAUUUACAAAUAGGCCCUUCUGUUUCUAGAAAGUUUACGAGCAAGCCCCUGGACCCCCGUUUAACCCCUGAAGCCACCUUUAACUCGUCAUUUUAUGUGCGAAACGACCUCUGAUUGACCCGAAACUUUACCACGCCCUUUCUAGUAUAGUUUUAGCCAUGCCAUUAAGAAACCACCCAGAGAUAUUGCCCCGACCUCCGUAACUAAAUUAUUUCCGAUUCAAGCCCGACGAUAAAAGCUUUUAGUUCUUGUGCUUGAUUGUGUGCCUGUUUGUUUGCGUCGUAGGACACGGAGUGAACGAGGAAGGUCCCGACUGUGACCAAGCGAACGAGGACCAGUUCUGCGACCCCGAGCCCGAGGGACAGUGCUACGAUCAGGACCUCCCGCAAGGAUUUGACGAUGGCAAGUUCAAUUCCGCCCUUUGAUGCAUGUUUCUGUCCUAGUUUUUAUAAACACAACCCAGUGGCCUGUUUUAUAAAAUUGCAUUGUUUUGCGUGUUGAAAACAUGGUAGGAUAGCCACCCUUGCCGUGAUAGCCAUACCUUGAAUACCUGAUUUUAUAAAGAAAAAUGCGUGUGUGUGGGAAAGGGUAAAGUGUGGAUUUGAGAAACGAGUCGGACGGGAUGGAUGGCAUUUCUGUGUGAAUUGCCGUUGGUGUGCUCGUACCUGUGUGGUUGAGCGAGGAAGGGAGAUAUCCAUCCUGUCACCCCUAAGGACCGAGUUGAUGUGACAUCUCACCUAGCUUCUUGUCGUGCGAACCACUUGACCGUUGUAUGGGCAACGGCUUAGCAUAAAUCCCACUAGUUAGCCUGAUAGCCAUCAGGAGAGCUGAGAGCAACGGGUGAUCAAGGAGACGGGAUAAGCUCUGUGUGACUUAUGCCCCGGUUAAACCUCGGUGAUAGGUCGAAUGACCCCCUUGAUGGAUCCCGUGGUGGCUAGUCAGGUCUAGCUAAGGUGGGUAAUGGCUUUGUUGGGAUCUGCACCGGCACUAAGGUGUUCGUGCUGUGGUACCCCACCUGUGGGUAAAGUUGCACACCUCUGCAGAGUUAAAAAUCUAUUCGAAUAGCCGUGCCCACGGUAUUGGGUAAGUUAUGGUGUGGUCACAUAACUAGUGAUUCUCUCUGGGAAUGAUUGGGCUGGCGUGAGUUGUUUGGAAAGUAUCCGGCAGUUGUGCCGUGUGCUACGGCGGACGGGGAGUCCGGUAGCAGUCUAAAACUUGGAUCCUGUGUGGAUCAAAAUCGUGUGCUCCUUGGUAUUAGAAAACUCGUUUUGGAAAUCGUUUUUAAACGAACCCUUGCAUACAGUUGAGUUUUUCACAAAUAAACCAUAACCUAUCCUUGGAUUGUCCUGUGCAUACGAUUACUGUUAUACCCCCUCCGUGGGUGUGAUUGGACUUGCUGAGUACGUUUGUACUCACCCCUCUCUUACUUUUACAGUGGAAGACCCAGACUACAUCCCCGAAGACAACGAGUAGGGUUUCGUCCUGCACCCAGCCUUGCCUGUGGUUGAGGCCACCGUUGGAUUCCGCAUGGCGCAAGACUCUGAUGACCCUUUGUUCGUAGCUAGUAUAAUUGUGUGGGUUCUGGUUGUAAUCCUCGCGAUAGUGGCGCUUCACUGCCCAUUACCGCGUAGAGUUGUACGGUGAUGUACCAUCUGAUGUAAUAAAAGUGUUAUCAGCCUCCUGGGACUGAUAAAUCAACACUUUUAAGUCUUCCCUGAUGGGGGGGACGCUUCAACCAUCGUCACCAAGGUGACCCGCAGCCCCCCGACAUGCCGUGGCAUCGGGUUUCCCGAUUUGGAGUAAAUAGUCCAAGUCCUUUUCCAAUGCGGAGAGGGACUCGGAAUUGUUGGCCUCCUGAUGUUCAGUGGCCGAAUUGCGUGAACCGAGUCGUGAUCGGCUAUGCAAGUCCUCAGAUUGGAGCGAGUCCGAUCCGAGCGUGGUUGUUGCAGAGCGUGAUGGAGUCGUGUUGAAAACGGACUCCUCCUCAAUCUUCCUGGCGAAGCCAUGGGUCAACAAGUCGUCGAGAUUGUCGACGAACUCGUCGAGCUCGCUAUGAAAACUUGCUGCGAGAGUUUUCGGCUUCAUGACGUCGAUGGUGAAUCGGCGAAAAUCGCCCGCGCCAUCUACAACGCAGACCCAUUAGCCGAAAACGAGCGUCGUGCCCUCAGGGGGCACGGCACUGGUGAACUUGAAUGAUGCUAUCGAGUUCACCGGUGGAUCUUCGAUGCGCACCCCUACCUGGCGCGCCAGCUAUCGGUGUUUUACCGCUUGCCCAUCGAGGGGUAUACCCGAGGUGGUGAGUUUUAGGUAGGGUGUCGCCGAGAUCAGGAACUCGAAGGUGCAAGCAACACAAGGUUUAGACAGGUUCAGGCCGCGAGGUGCGUAAUAUCCUACGUCCUGUUUGGUGGUUUGUAUUGCCUUGGGUGUUGAUGUGUUUUGAAGGGGUCCCUGCCCGCCCUUAUAUAUCCGGGAGGACAGGGUUACAUGAAUCCUAGUCCGACACUAGCCUAGGAAUCGUACUCGAGUACAACUCGAGUAGUUUCCUUCUGUAUCGACUAGUUCUACUUUGUAUGCGAGUAGAAUACAACAUAGAUAAGGUAUAGGACAUGUCCUAUCCCCUAUUCCUAUAUGAACUACGUUAUGUACACAGUCCCGUAGUCCCGGGUCUGACAAGAACUACUGGCUGGCUCAUGAACAGUUCCUAGAAGUUGUGCAACAUGGUUCGAACUUGCCAUGUGCUCACACUGAUAAGGCAAAGAUCAUUGGUGCCAAAUUCAAAAGCCUAAGAAGAGUACUCAAAGCUAGGAAAAAUCAACUCCCUAGUUUGGCCAAAACUAUUCAGAAUUGCAAAGAGGUGAUACUUCUCCUAGACACUUUAGAAGAAUUAAGGGAUCUUUCUACUGAGGAGUGGAACUUUAGAUCUUUAGUGGAGAAUCACCUACAGGCUCUCCUGAGCCAGCAACAAAUUUAGUGGAAGCAAAGAGGAACCAUUAAAUGGGUCAAAUUUGGAGAUGAGUGCACAUAGUUCUUUCAUGCUAAUGCUUCCAUCAAACACAUAAGGAAUUAUAUCAUUCUGCUUAGAAACAGUGAAGGUGAUGAGUUCACUGAUCAUGAGGCAAAAGCUCAAAUCAUCUGGCAAGCUUUUAAAAAGAGGCUAGGAAGAUCAGAUUUCACUCAUGUGUAUGUUGACCUAUAUUCCCUUCUCUUGCCAAGAGAUGAUCUCCAAUGGUUGGACUCAGCUUUCAUCAUAGAGGAAAUAAAUAGAUUAAUUGCUGAUCUGCCCAAUCAUAAAUCUCCUGGUCCUUAUGGUUUUAAUGGAGAAUUCCUGAAGCAUUGUUGGAGGAUCAUUGCUGAGGAUUUUUACAAUCUCUGUGAGGCCUUUCAUGAAGGAGAAAUAUGCCUGAGAAGCAUCUACAGCUCUAAUAUCACUCUCAUCCCCAAGAAAGACACUCCUCUCACAGUAAACGAUUAUAGGCCCAUUUCUCUCUUGAACUCUCCCCCGAAACUUCUUACAAAGAUCUUACUUGAAAGACUACAACAGGUCAUCCUCUUACUGGUUCAUGCUAACCAAUAUGGUUUUAUAAAAACCAAAACAAUUCAAGAUUGCCUAGCUUGGGCGUUUAAAUAUUUACACCUCUGCAAGAAUUCUAGAAAAGAACCGGUGAUUCUAAAAAUUGAUUUUGAAAAGGCAUUUGACACAAUUGAACACCAAGCCAUCCUCCAAGUUCUACAUCACAAGGGUUUUAGUAGCAUCUGGAUCAGCUGGAUUAAGUGCAUCCUGGAUUCUAGAACUUCCUCAGUGCUACUUAAUGGUGUCCUGGGGAAAGUUUUUCACUGCAAAAGGGGUGUUAAAUAGGGUGAUCCUUUAUCUCCCCUGUUAUUUGCCAUCGCAGCUGAUUUUCUGUAAUCUAUGGUUAAUAAGGCCAAACAACAAGAUCUCCUAAAAUUAACCCUUACAAGAAGAGUAGGAGAGGACUUCCCAAUCAUUCAGUAUGCGGAUGACACCCUUCUCUUUCUAGAAGCCUGUCCCGUGCAAUUUUAAGUCCUCAAAAAUUUGCUUGUCGAAUUCUCAUCCUCAUCUGGGUUAAAAGUUAACUACAGAAAGUCCUCUCUUGUGCCCAUUAAUGUCCCUCCAGAAAAAUUAGACUUGCUAGCUGAUAUUCUCUGUCAGAAGGGCACUAUUCCUUUCACCUAUCCUAGACCGCCUCUCUGCAGCACAAAACCAAAAAUGGAAGACUUCUUGCCUCUGGUGCAAAAGAUUGAAAGAAGAUUGGUCUCCACAUAUUCUUUCCUUUCUCCUGGAGGCAAACUUAAGACGGUAAACUUGGUUCUUUCCUCAACAGCUGUUUUUCAUUGUUGCACUUUGAAACUGUGCAAGGGAAUAAUUCAACAAAUAGAUAAGUAUAGAAAACACUGCCUCUGGAGAGGUUCUGAUCUUAAUGCAAAACAAACAUAUAGGGCUGCUUGGAUAAUGGUUUGUCUCCCCAAAAGUGAAGGAGGACUUGGGGUUUUGAAUUUAGCCACACAUAAUGAUUCUUUGCUUCUGAAAUUCCUUUACAAGUUCUUCACUAGAGCCAACAUCCCUUGGUUCAAUCUUGUUUUGGAAAAUUAUUACCAUAGUGGCAAGCUCCAUGGUCAGCAAAGGAAAGGAUUCUUCUGGUGGAGAGAUCUAGUCAAAUUAAUUGAUUCUUUCAAAGGAUUAGCUAAAGCCACUGCCCACAAUGAGGAUACAAUUCUUCUUUGGAACAACACCUGGAAUGACUCAAGAUACAAUUCUUCUUUGGAACGACAGCUGAAAUGACUCAGUACUAGACUUAGCUAUCCUGAACUGCUUUCCUUUGCAAGAAACAACAAUGUCACAAUCAAGCAAGCAUUAGAUGCCCCUAAGCUUUUGAGCAACUUCAAUCUUCCUUUCUCCUCUCAAGCAUACCAACAGUUUUUGCUGCUAGAAGGUCUUCUACAACCCCUCUCUCAGGAUCAACGGCCUGACGAAUGGAAUUUUAUUUGGGGGAAUAAUAUUUUCUCUGCCAAGAAAGCCUAUAAACAACUCAUUGGAUAUAGGCCAACUUUGCCCAUCUACUUUUGGAUGUGGAACUCGGUAUAUCAAAUGAACCACAAGGUAUUUUUCUGGCUUGUUUUAAAAGAUAGGAUCAAUACAAGGGACAUGUUAAGGAGAAGAGGAAUGGAACUGGACUCUUUUGUCUGCGAGAUGUGUAUACUUCAGGUUCCUGAAACCUCAGUUCAUUUGCUACUAAGAUGCAAUUUCGCCAAAGCCUGUUGGGCCUCAAUUGGAGUACAAUAUGUCCCCUCUAGGACACCAUUUUAGAUAGAUAUUUAGGAGAAUCAGACAAACUUUAAAUGUGCCUUUUUUCAUGGAAAUUAUAAUCUUUAUGAGCUGGAGCAUUUAGACAACAAGGAAUGACUAGUUAUUUAACUUUAUUGCCCCAGUAAUCAGUAGCUGCAAAAGGAAGUUCAAGUCUGAAUUUCGACUUCUCCUUCAUCGUGUGAAGACAAGCGCAGUCCCUGCUAUGACAUCAUGGAUUGAUCAUAUCUAAUGCUUCUCCACCCUCCCGGGCUAGUUUUAAUCUUAGUUUAAUUUUCUUUCCCUUUGUUUUGUUUUUUGAGUUCCAGUUGUCUUUCUAUAAACUGUUUACCUCUUUUUUUAAUAAUAUAGCAUAGUAGGGGCGUGCCCCUCCUGUUUCCUCAAAAAAAAAGUGAUAUUUGAAAGCACACAAAGUACAUCACACAAUGUAAGAAUUAGUAUUACCCUUCGGACCAGCCAUCCCAUCAAUUACAGUUAGGGUAUUUAUAGGGUCUCUCAACAUUCUAAAUAUUACAUUCCUAGAAUAUUCUAUGGGUACAUGGUAAUUUCUCUCUUGUGCACGCUUUACAACUUUACAGCUCAGCUCGUUCUUCAUGGCUCCGAACCUCCAGCGAUCAACCGAAGGGGCUAAAACUGCAUGACACCUUCGGGCCUCCUCUUCGGCUCCAUUCUCCGCACCUCCGCCUCCGCGGUCAUCACCCUUCAGCCACCCAGACCUGCCUUUGUUUCGCCUCGAGCCCCCGUGGCUUUGGAUCGCUUGCUGUCAAGAAAAAUCAAAGUUGAACAAGAACACAAACCCUUCGGCGGGCGACCGAAGGUGGCGUCCCAAACACCUUUCUUCGUUACACACACAAUUACACAAACACACCUCUCAUAAAAAUGCAUGAAGUAUUGGACAACCUCGCUGCAAUGACAUAAGGAUGAUCAUAAAAAUGAAAAAAAAUCCCGUUUACCAUGCAUCAUUUCUUAGAUUCUCUUUCUCUUUCACGUUCAAAUGAGAUUGGAAGUAUUAUUGUAAAAACAAGAAUGAAAAUUAGGGAUAGAUGAGAACGGAUCAGAUACAGACGAUCAUCUAUGGAUACGAAUACUGAUAAUUAUCUUUUUUUGGAUCGCACUGAGAUAAAGAUAUGGAUAGUCUAAAAUUUGUUGAAUACGGGUCGGAUAUUGAUAUCCAUCUAAUAUCAAUAUAAUAUAUCCAUCUUUGAUUAUCCAAAUUCGGAUAUGGAUCGAUCUCGAAUGGCUAAAUUUUGAUAUGGAUUAUCCAUUUAGUAUCAAAACCCCUUGCGAUUGGAUGAUCGAAAGGAAAGAAUUCGCACAUUUUCAAUGAAAAUGGUAAGAAAAGCUAAAGAGUCAAGCAGGCGAGUUCAAAGGCUCCAAGACACAGACACUCCUUGCUUACAAGUGUGAAUCACUCGAAUUAUCAUAAAAGUCUAAUUUUCAAUCCAUCAACUACAAAAUAGGAUAACGACGGUCAUCCAACUAUUGAAACCGGAUAAACUUGGUGGUUUCAAAUGUGAUUUUUCAUUUUGUGAAAAUUAAAAAUAUUCUUGUUUAAACUAAAAAAUUCAUAAGUAUUCAUUUAAAUCAGAAAAAUACAAAACAGGUACCAAUAUUUUUCUAAAAAUAUAAUCUAUCUGUUGGUAAUCCUUGUCAGUUAUUUGGAUCUAAUUUUUUCUAGUGCUUAGUAUUUAUUUUCUUAUAGUUAUGCUUAUUAUUUUAUAUAAAUGAGAUUAAAACAGAGCACCAACAAAUAGAUUACACUUUUAGAAAAAAAUGGUCCCAAUUUCAUAUUUUUUAUUUAAAAUAAAUUAGUUAUGAUUUUUUUAGGUCUAACCAGAAUUUUUUAAAUUUAGAAAAAGAAUGCAAAACCAGCUAUGAAACCACCGAAAGGGAAAAUUUGUUCAUUUGACAGUUGGAUGGUCCCUGUUGUCCGAUUUUAUAGUUGAGGGUUGAAAAUCAAAUUAUUGUAUUAGCUUAGGGGGGGUAUUGGACUUUUCUCUUGUUCUUUGAACGAUGUUUCCUUAAGUGUCCAUAGUUCUUGAAUUAGACCAUUAUUCAACGUGUAGUUCGUAAGUUUACACAUUGGGGCCUUAAUCUUAAACAUCUAACGCCAUUACUCUAGCUUAUACAUUUAGCUCACCAUUAGACCUUCUAGAUAAGGAGAACAAUUUUCAUAGGACUUGUCCAAUUCAAUCCAAGCUUUGUCUCAAAUUUGCUGACUUUCUUAUACUGCAUCAUAGAUGCAGUCAGCCUUAUGCUGCGCCACUGCCUGUCACCAAGGGCUUCCAUUUUGAUUUUCGAAUACCGUCGACUCUUGCUCGAACUGAACCAGUCCUGAGUCCUGACUCCUUGCAGGAGGUGCGUGCGUGAGCUAAGCGUGGGUGACCUUCUAUGGGAUGGACAUCAUCUAUUUUUUGAUAGCCAGCUAUCUGGUAUGGUUUGGACAAUCACUCACGCGGUUUUCAGUCUUCCAAAGUUUCAUAGUGUGACGUAUAUGUUUGGGCAAUGGUUGAUGGGAAUUGCUAAUUAAUUUUUAAAUCACUUGUAUUACUUGGAGCAGUGGCUACGUGUUCGUGUUUGUGGUUGUGUUAAUACACUUUGAUAUAUUAAUACAAAUAAACUUUCUUUCUGCAAGUUAUCUUCAUAAUUUCACACUGCGUGCGCACAUGGGCUAUUCUCCACAAGUCUACUAUACAGGGACUAGUUGUACCGGCAUCUCGGCAAUUGGUACAAAUGGUCAAGAUCUAUUUUACCCGGGUAUAUAUGUGACGGUCUAGUCUACGGACUAAUGGUCAUUAAAAUUCCGGGCUUUUUUCCUUCGUGUAAGGCUGUGUGCCGCUAGGCAGAGGCUGUAAAUUUUUCAAACAUUAUCGUAUCCUGUUGAUGUGACGCUACUUGAAAUUAAGGAAAAUUUCUCUCUUUUAAAAAAAAUGUGGUGGACGUCAACCCAACUGCCCUUGUAAUGUGGAUCUUUCUUGGCCAUAUGCGAGUCGAAUACCCUCUACACCAUGCAAAUUAUGCCAAGGCAAGGAGCAGAAGAAGCCAAGUGAGCAGUGACAGGUAUCGUUAUGUCUGGAUCGUGCCUAGACAAAAAUGAGCACAUUAUCAGAUCAUAUAUAUAUAUAUAUGUUAGUAUGUGCAUGUGUUCCUCCAAAGUAACUAGAGUUUUACUUCAAUGGUCCCUUUCAUAAAAACUGCACGAAUCUUAAAAGCAAUAACAUAAUUAAGCAAUUACUUUUAACUCGGGUUAUGUUUGGGCCCGUCCCUACCCGUAUCCAAGUGAAGCCCGGACCAUGCCCACUUAUUCUUUUUAGAUCUUAUCCUGCGUUUCAAUCCAGUCGAUCGCGGACUGCAGAGGCCAUUGGCAUGGCGAGCGGAAGGACAGGCGGCGGCGCCAUUGGCGUGCUGUGUCCACUGCACAGAGCGACCUAGCUGACCGAGGGAUUUAUCCGUAGUAACUGUCACCGCAACUCCCGAUCCGUUUGCAAAGGACAGAGAGGGAACUCCAAGGGUAUGGGUCGGACGGCGUCAUUCUGCGUGCCGUGCGGGCGGACUGAGGCUGGUGCGAAUCCGCGGCGAGCCGGCGAAGACGCAUAGCGUUGCCUCCCGCGUGGCCGUCUCUGUUCUUGUAGUAUAUGCCAAAAAGAGUUUGUUCAGAUGCAGUUUUAUUCCUGUGCUAUGAACUAUGUAUUGGAGCAGUUCUCCUGUUCCUUUCUUAAUUAAAGAUGAGGUAUCAUAUGGCUUCUAAGUUCUGACUUCUGAAUGCAAAACUGGAUGUUGGCUAUUCGAUACUGUUUACUGAUAUUAGUAUUUGGUUCUACUUCUGAAAGCGAGGAUUAGUGAAAAACGAUUGGGGCUCACUUCGCUCCAGGCAUAAAAUCCGAGCCCGAAGACCAAAACCCAAAAAACCCAAGCCCAAACCCAUUCAGCCCAUUACCCGAUACCCGAACAUGUUUCUCGGGUUGCAAUCGUCAAAACCCGAACUAAUUUCGGGCUUUUCGGGUUUAGGGUCGCGGUACCUGAACUACCUGUUUAGCCCAUAGUUUUUUUCUUUCCGUCACAUCUCGCGAGGCGCGACUCCACCGCUCCACGGCCCAGCCCACAUUCUGUGAGUGUGAUAUUCUGUUAAGUUCAUGUCCAAACUACCCAUAAUGUUGAUGUUUUUGUUCAGAUUUGCUGUUCAAAUGCUGCUGUAAUUUUGGUUCAUAUUUGAGUAGUUCGGGUAGUACGGGCUACCCGAAUCCAAACCUGAAGUUUUCGGGUACCCGAAUUUUCGGGUAGUAGUCUGUGCAGGCCCAUUUCGGGCUUAGGUUCUGAAAGCCCGAACUUUCAAAAGCCCGAAUAAUCCGACCCGAAAGUUCGGGCUAACCCGAACGCCCGGAGUGAGGCUCACUCACUGCAAAAUUGCAUCAUUGCUUGCUGCCUCUGUCUCUCUCGCCCUGCAGACCCUGCCUGAGCGUUAGAGCUGUCAUGCUGGACUGCUAGCUGAGAUGUGCGAUCAGUGCUGUAAACUGUUGUCUGUUGCUAAAAUUGAUGCUGAAAUUGUGAAUCUGUGAGUGGCAUUCCACAUAUUCAGUAUGGUGUUCGGCACGGUGACGUGUUCAAACUUUAUUUUGAUACAGGAUCGCCAGAAUAUUUAGAAUUUACCUAAGCCAAUAAAAUUCUUUUUUUAGAUUAUGGAAAAAAAUCCGGCCUUGAUCAUUCACAAGCGAAUGACUACAUUCAAAAGAGUUAUAAAAAGUUCUUAAACUCUAAACCUCAAAUGAGGGAUUUCACGGAUACAAGAAAGAAAGCUGUGAAACAAAGAAAGAAAACUAGAAGAUUAAGUUUGAAUCUUCUUCUUUGUUCAUGCUUCAACCUUUUAAUAUUUUAAUAUUUUCACGCAGCACCAAUCCAUCACAUCUCUCGUCUGCUUAGAAACUUGAUAUCCGGAUCGGCUGUUGCUUGCCAAAUCUUUUCACGUAAAUCUCCGCCUAGCGCAUGGGUGCGAGGAUACAUCCAGGGAGAAAGUGGCUCCAAAAGGUGUCACCAAUAUCAACGCCGGCAUAAUGCCGGACAAGGAUUUCCUCAAACGGUUUCCUGUAGCACCCGACAUCAACACGGACCCGCAAAUACUUAUUAACAUAUUAUUAACAUGAACUGAAUGGUUCAUGAAUUGGGGAUGGCAAUUAGGGCUUCACUGUUCGGUCAUAUGGUCAGAGUUCAGAAGAUUUUGCAUGGACAUCAUAAAUGUUUGUGGUGAAAAUUAAAAUGGUUCCACAUAUAAAGGCAAACACAAGUAGCACGUACACUUUUCCCUAAAGAACAAUACACUACAGAGAAGACAGUGACCAGCCAUGGAAAUGUUUGUCGUUCAUUAAUUGAAUGACAAACAAGUUGUACCUUAAAGAUGCAAACUUUAUGGCAUGCUUAUCAGGAAGGAAUUAACAGAGGAGGUGGGAGGAUCCCAGCCAUCAGCUCUUUCAUAGCCUAGGUUGACGCCAUCCUCGUACUUUCUCCUGGAAUUUCUUUGUUGCAAACGGAUCACGAGUUGCGGCACGGAUCGCUCCCUCAGUUAGCUUGACUAUUGCUCCUUUCGCUUGCCAUUCGAAUAGCCUCCGCACUCCGCCACUCGACGGGAUUGAGAAUGAGAUCCAAAAGAAAGUGGCUAUGGAUCGGGCCCUACUUGGACACGGGUAGGGCUGGACUCAAAUAUAACCCACAACGAAAUUAAUUUAUUAAUUGUUUGCUUACUUUAAGAUUUGUGCAAUUUUUAUAGAAGGGACUAUCGGAGCGAAACUUAAGUAAAAGAAGAAGAAACAGGAGCACAUGUAUCCCACAAAAUAGGGCAUUACAGAGCACCUCAACAUUCCCUGGCCUUCAAAUUUGUUGCCAAUAGUCAUCUGCUAAGCAAGUUGUAUUGGAAAGCCAUGCAAUCUCUCAUCUACGAAUUUUGGUACAAGAAUAAAAUUCUUGAAAACUAAGCCACAAGAGUGAAGUUCAGAGAAGUAGCUAGAUGGUACUCAUAGUAUGAAAAUAGCACUAUGUACGUAUUUAUAUGCCAAUCAGUUUUAGAAAAACAAACAAACUCAUUUACAAAUGUUAGAUAACCUCACUGAUAAACAACUCGGACACAGUUUCGUUGGCUCAUCAGCACACGAUCAAUAGGAUGACAACUUAGGAUAAGUAGCAUCAUGUACGCCAACUUGAAGAAAGAAAUUUCUCUGCGACGGUGCCACAUGACCCACCUGGUACGACACCGCCCAGAAUGCUAACGCGUGGCGAUAGACACCAUCGGGAGAUUGCGAUUCCGCAGGAGUUUUGCGUCAUUGGAGCCAGCUCCUUGGUGCAUCCAUGCCCGCACAAACUCCCACAGAAUCGCAAUCUCCCGAUGAUGUCGAUUUCCACACGUCAGCAUCCUGGGUAGUGUCGCACCAGGUGCGUCGUGCGGCGAGAGAAUUUUCUUCCCUACUUGAAAGCCAAGGAUUCUUCUUUUUCUUAAAAAUGUCUAUUUCAAUUCUUCUCAUAUUCUAGCAGUUUAAUUUUUUUCUCAAAUCAAACGAAAUACAAUGCAUCCCUCGAGUGUUAACACUAGGUCGUAUCAUGCAUGUUGGGAAUGUUUUAGGGUGGUCUUGUGUGAUGUGGUAGCCACAACACCAACUUGGUUCCGCAUGUCCUUCUCUUUCACACACACAAUUACAAAACGUACCUCUCUAUAGAAGUGCUAGUGUUGAACAAUAUCGCUGUUGGAAUAUAGGGAUGAGCGCAAAAAUGAAAAAAAAUCCUGUUUACUAUGAAUUAUUUUUGAGAUUCUCAUCUUUUUCGUGUUCAAAUGAGAAUGAAAAUAGUAUUUUAAAAACAAGAACGAAAAUGAUUAUAACGUAAGUAAACAUAAACAAGAUUUUGGUCUCUUUUAGUAAUUUUUGAGGUUUCCAUAUUAGACCGGUAAUUACUGCCUAUAAAUUACAACCAAAUGUUUCAUGGUUAGAUACACCGCUCGCUCAAGGUCAAAGAACCAAGUGCCAUCCUAAGAUGAAGAGAUAGUGAAUUAGCACACUAUUCCUAGGCUCCAACUAAUCACUUGCUCAAUGUAAACUUAACCUUGCUUAUAUUGAUGUGCUCUGAGGUUUAUCUAGUGUGGCUAGAGGUACAAACUUAGCACAAGUAUUCAUCCCAUGGUAUCGUAUCAAUGGAUAAACCGUCAAUUUAAUCCAUGUCAUUGCACCAUCAAGAAUAUGCUCCUAGUCACUAAAACCCUCGCAAUCAAAGGUUCUUGGAUUACCACCACCAAGAUGGGCACCAAGCUGGAUGGGCAAGUUGCUCUUCAAGCCUCUCCUCCUAUCACUUAGCGCUAUCAUUAUUUGGGAGCAUGAUCUCGCAGUAGCAAGGGCCUAUGUGAACCCGUACAAUCCUCUUGCCAUCGCUUCAUAGACUAAACUAGAGAGUCAAGAAGGUGAGCCCAAAGGCUAGCUCCAAGACACCGGCACUCAUACGCUUACAAGUGUGAACUAUACCUUGAUCUAAGCACAAUGAAGUGACAUCUUAUAGACAAUUUAUCUAGCCUAGACUAGAAAUAAUCCCCCUCUACCCACUUCGGUGGCUUGGUAGUUUUCUCAAUAAGGUGUACCUUCCUGUGGAGCAAUAGGUCAUAUUAGCUAUAGAGAUAGAGGUGCUCUUACUCGAGGCGGCUGGCUAGCUCAGAGCAUUGGAUGCGGUCAGUCGGCCUUCUGGCAUGCGACUGCCUGCUCCUUUAUGUAAAUUCUACAUUAUUGACACCAUUUUCCUCCAGUCAUCAAUUGCUUCCAUUUCGAUUUUCGAAUGGCUUCGGCUCUUGCUCGAACUGAACCACUCCUGAGUCAUCCUGACUCCUUGCAGGAGAUGUGUGUGUGAGCUAAGCGUUGGUGACCUUCCCUUCUCUGUGGUGGACAUGAACCCAGUUGGAUGGCCUUGUAUUGAGGACCUUCCAUUGCAGUAUGGCGAGUCCAGACACACCGCAUGCAAAUUCUGCCAAGGCGAGGAGCAGAAGAAGUCACGACCGACGGGUAUGGUUUUGUCAGGAUCGCGUCAAGACACAACUGCAGCAGAAGAAGACAAGUGAGGAGUGACAGGUAUUCUUUUGUCUCGAUCGUGUCUACGGCCUGAUCCAGACGAAAACGAGCACAUCAGCCCUCAGCUCUGGCCGCAGCAGGAGUUAUAUCAAUAAACAGUUACAGCAUUAUCGACAAUGUAGUCUGGGUAUCGUUAAAGAAUUUUAUUCCGGAAUUAAGAGUGGGUGUUGACAGCAUUUCAGAACCACUACUUAUGUAUUGCGAUAAUCAACUCACAAUUUUCUAUUCGAGUAACAACAAAUAAGUUUUUAUGCCACAAACAUUGACAUAAAGUAUCAUAUUGUGAAAGAUACAGUCCAAGAUUAAACAAUUAAGAUUAAGAACAUCAGUACUGAAUUUAUGUUUGCGAACCCACUUUCAAAAGCCUAUCACCUAGUAUUUCUCGUAAUUAUGUAGCCAGGAUGGGUUUAUUGGAAGGCCUCUGAUUCUGGACAAAAGAAGAUUGUCUAUGAAACCAACUCCCAUAAAGUAUCAUGUGAAUAUCCGAUCGAUUGGGAAUGUAAUAUUGUAAGUGAUGCGAUUUGGUAAUUCGUGAUUGAUCAUCAUGACACAUUGCUCUAGUGUGAAGCUCCACUUUGAAAGGGUUUAUGAUGAUUAACUUUAAAAUUAAGAGUGAAUGUUGGACUAAUCUCGAGGCUAACAAUAAGCUCGAGGUUAAAAGACCCAUUACGCCAAAUCGCACCAUGAUCGGGGGGCCCAUAACCAAGCCUAGGUUUCAGUCCCCGUCACCCAGUGUAAUAUUUAAUAGAGAGGUUGGUCCCUCACACAAACUAACGUUUUGUGAGGCUAAACCUUACUCCCACAUUUCUAAUCCGAUUUUCGAAUGGCUUGAGCUCUUGCUCGAUCUGAACUUUGCUCGAUCUGAACCACUCCUGAGUGAGUCCUGACUCCUUGCAGGAGAUGUGUGUGUGAGCUAAUAAGCAUGGGUGACCUUAUUCUCUUCUCUGUGGUGGACAUGAACCCAACUGGAUGGCCUUGUAUUGAGGACCUUCCAUUGCAGUACGGCGAGUCAAGACACACCGCAUGCAAAUUCUGCCAAGGCGGGGAGCAGAAGAAGUCACGACCGACGGGUAUGGUUUUGUCCGCCCCUCUCCUCGCGGUGGCCGCCGGCCGGCCGGUCACAUGCCCUCCGCUGGAUAAGCCGCCUUUCCAACCGCCAAUAGGCCGCGCAUUCCCGUGCACACACUCGCCCGCUCCCCAUCCCUAUUUAAAGCCACCCGCGCCCUCGCCGUGCAUCGCAACAGCUAGCUAGCACGGCGCCCUCCGCUCCAGCCAUCUAGCUAGCCUCGCUUGCCUUCCCGCUCACGCACGCCAUGGCGUCCUCCGAGCGCCACCACUCCAUCGACGCGCAGGUCCGGCUCCUGGCCCCCGGCAAGGUCUCCGAGGAUGACAAGCUCGUCGAGUACGACGUCCUCCUCAUGGACCGCUUCCUCGACAUCCUCCAGGACCUCCACGGCCCCGGCAUCCGUGAAUUCGUAACGAUCAAUAAUUGAUGCUCCUCUUUGCUUUCGGUCCUCCAGUUCGCCGCCUGUCGUAUAUACGCACGUGGCGUGCUCUUCUCCUUAGCUUCUCACCGGCCCCGACCGUGCGUGCGUGCGUGCCUGCAGGUCCAGGACUGCUACGAGCUGUCGGCGGAGUACGAGGGCGACCGCAACGCCGCGCGCCUGAAAGACCUCGGGUCCAGGCUCGCCAGCCUGGCCCCCGCCGACGCCAUCCUCGUCGCGGGCUCCAUCCAGCACAUGCUCAACCUCGCCAACCUCGCCGAGGAGGUGCAGAUCGCGCACCGCCGCCGGAACAAGCUCAAGAGCGGGGACUUCGCCGACGAGGGCUCCGCCACCACCGAGUCCAACAUCGAGGAGACGAUCAAGCGCCUCGUCGACCUCGGAAAGUCCAAGGAGGAGGUGUUCGAGGCGCUCAAGAACCAGACCGUCGACCUCGUCCUCACCGCGCACCCAACGCAGUCCGUCCGGAGGUCGCUCCUCCAGAAGCACGCCAGGUAAUUAAGUACCAAGUCAUCACUCUCCUCAUUACUAGUUCGCAAUUCAUUUUCGGUCACCAACAUGUAUAUAAUUUCCCUUCGAUUCGGUUCGGCAUUACGCAACGGAAAUGCAUGUUCGUGUUGCCCUUGCGCGCAGGAUCCGGAAUUGCCUCACGCAGCUGAAUGCCAAGGACAUCACGGACGACGAAAAGAAGGAGCUCGACGAGGAUCUUCACAGGGCGGUACGUGCAUUUGACACUAGGGAAUAUGAAAACUUUUUAUGACGCGCAAUACCACCACUUAGUGAUAUAUACUAAGCAUAUAAUGAGAAGAUUUAACCCUUCAUUAGUUCAUUAGUAAGGGUAGUUUUAUAAUUAUUUUCUAGUUAUAAAUGAAAAUAAAGAUAGGGAAUUAGAAAGAUAGUCCGAAUAAAAUGAAUCCUGAUAUUAUCUUAUAGCACCUUGAUACUACCUAUACUAUUUAUAUAUACUACAUAUGCUAAUACUGGAGUUUUCAGUAGUACACAAAAAUCGUAGGAUGUUUCUAUACUAGUCAUUUUCAAACCGUAGUAUAGGCCAGUAUUGUGUACUAUAGAAUACAUACCUGUGUCUGAGGCCUUUCCUCAGUUGCCCGUCAGACAGGGUAUUCUGACAUUAUUUCUCCCAUGCCUGCGAGGAGGAAGAGUGGCGACCCGUCUCUUUUGGUCGUUACAUUCUUUCUUCUUUUAAUUUGAUAGAGAUAGAACACAAUACGUCGACUGGUGAGUUAAAGACACUGAGAAUGACACGUGUAAUUUAGUGGGCCAGAAAAUCCUUCAACAUACGUAUAUGGUAUAUAUUGAUGGUAGGGUUGUUUCUAGACAGACCUUCGGUUCUGUGCUAAAGAAACGAAGGGCAUCUCAAAUUUAAGACGAAUCAGAAUUUUCCACUCCAUUUAUAAUCAUUACAAAUUCAAAGCAGCUAGCCUUUGUUAUCAGAUCACAAAUACUUUUUUUAGGGCCGGCUAUUAGAUCACAAAUACUAGAUAGGCAGGAGGCCAUGUAUACAUGUUAUGCAGAAGAAGAAAAAAAACUGAGUGCUUAGAUAAUUCGCUCUGUUGGUUCUUCACGUACGUACAGAUCCAAGCAGCCUUCAGAACAGAUGAGAUUCGGAGAGCACAGCCGACCCCGCAGGAUGAGAUGCGUUACGGGAUGAGCUACAUCCACGAGACCAUAUGGAAGGGUGUUCCAAAGUUUCUGCGUCGUGUGGACACAGCUCUGAAGAACAUCGGGAUCGACGAGCGCCUCCCCUACAAUGUUCCCCUCAUCCAGUUUUGUUCUUGGAUGGGUGGCGACCGUGAUGGUACGUAAAUCCGAUCCGAUCCCCUGUUUUAUUUAUUUCAGAUGCAAGCGAUCACAAGCAUUCAGCUGAUUGCUUAUGAGUAAUCCAACUAUUAAUCAUUAUAUUGGUUUGCGCGCACAGGAAAUCCAAGGGUUACGCCGGAGGUGACAAGGGAUGUAUGCUUGCUGGCACGAAUGAUGGCUGCAAACUUGUACUUCACCGGGCUAGAAAAUCUCAUGUUUGAGGUAUGUAUUCCUUGUCUAUUCCAUUCCUAGAUGUUUAACUUUGCCUGCUGUUGCUGCCUGCUGCCUCCUGCACCAUCCCAUCAUCGAUCUGAUGCAUGAAUGAUGAGCUUCCAGCUCUCUAUGUGGCGCUGCAAUGACGAACUCCGCGCUCGGGCGCAAGAAAUACACAGUGCUCCAAAGAAAGCUGCCAAGCACUACAUAGGUAACAAAACAUCUCCGCCAGGCAGCCUUACUUUUCCAGGCACUACAUGCUGUCAGUCAGAUUUUCUGGAUGAAGAGAUCGAAUUUGUGCAGAGUUCUGGAAGCAAAUCCCUCUCAACGAGCCGUAUCGCGUGGUGCUUGGUAACGUGAGGGACAAACUGUACAACACACGCGAGCGUGCGCGCCAGCUGCUGACUAAUGAAAUUUCUGACAUUCCGGAGGAAUCGGCCUUCAGCAAUGUUCAAGAGGUAACAAAUUGCCAUGCAUGCGUGCUCCGUCCUGAUCAUGCAUGUAUACUAGCCACGCACUGCCACUGUCUGAUACAUACUGCUACUGCCACGAACGAACCUGCCAGUUCCUGGAGCCCCUUGAGCUGUGCUACAAAUCACUGUGCGAGUGCGGCGACAAGACCAUCGCCGACGGGAGCCUGCUGGACUUCCUCCGCCAGGUCUCCACGUUCGGGCUCUCCCUCGUGAAGCUGGACAUCCGGCAGGAGUCGGAGCGGCACACCGACGUGAUCGACGCCAUCACCACGCACAUCGGCAUCGGCUCCUACCGCUCCUGGCCCGAGGAGAAGCGCCAGGAGUGGCUGCUAUCCGAGCUGCGCGGCAAGCGCCCGCUGCUCGCCCCGGACAUGCCCCAGACCGAGGAGAUCGCCGACGUGCUCGGCUGUUUCCGCGUCCUCGCCGAGCUGCCCCGCGACAGCUUCGGCCCCUACAUCAUCUCCAUGGCCACGGCGCCGUCGGACGUCCUCGCCGUCGAGCUCCUGCAGCGGGAGUGCCACGUGCGCGACCCGCUGCCCGUGGUGCCGCUCUUCGAGAGGCUCGCCGACCUGCAGAAUGCGCCCGCGUCCAUGGAGCGCCUCUUCUCGGUGGACUGGUACUUGGAGCGGAUCAACGGCAAGCAGCAGGUCAUGAUCGGCUACUCCGACUCCGGCAAGGACGCCGGCCGCCUGUCCGCGGCGUGGCAGCUGUACAGGGCGCAGGAGGAGCUCGCGCAGGUGGCCAAGCGUUACAGCGUGAAGCUGACCAUGUUCCACGGGCGCGGCGGCACCGUCGGCAGGGGAGGCGGGCCCUCGCACCUCGCCAUCCUGUCGCAGCCGCCGGACACCAUCAACGGGUCGAUCCGUGUGACGGUGCAGGGCGAGGUCAUCGAGCACUCCUUCGGCGAGGAUCACCUCUGCUUCCGGACGCUGGAGCGGUUCACGGCCGCCACGCUGGAGCACGGCAUGCACCCGCCAGUCUCCCCCAAGCCCGAGUGGCGCAAGCUCAUGGACGAGAUGGCCGUCGUUGCCACGGAGGAGUACCGGUCCAUCGUCUUCAGAGAGCCGCGCUUCGUCGAGUACUUCCGAUCGGUAAGCUAGACAUAUAUCAUUCAUCAUUAGGUGACGCAUGCAUUCGCUGCGGCGAACUCAUUCAUCCAUGGUUCCUUCUUCUAAAUUCCUCCUCGAUCGUACGUGCCAGGCUACGCCUGAGACGGAGUACGGCAGGAUGAACAUCGGCAGCCGGCCGGCGAAGAGGAAGCCCAAGGGCGGCAUCGAGUCGCUCCGCGCGAUCCCCUGGAUCUUCUCGUGGACGCAGACGAGGUUCCACCUCCCCGUGUGGCUCGGCGUCGGCGCCGCGUUCCAGUCUGCCAUUAAGAAGGACAGCAAGAACAUCCAGAAGCUCAAGGAGAUGUACAACGAGUGGCCCUUCUUCAGGGUCACCAUUGACCUGCUGGAGAUGGUCUUCGCCAAGGGGGACCCCAGCAUCGCCGGCUUGUACGACGAGCUGCUCGUCGCCGACGACCUCAAGCCCUUCGGGGAGCAGCUCAGGAACAAGUACCUGGAGACGCAGCAGUUUCUCCUGCAGGUACUGAUACUACUGAAACAAACAAAAAAAAAGAUUCUGAAAAAUUCACAGCAUUUUCAUAUGAAACUUGAUGCACGAUGAUGAUUCUGUGACUUCCUGAUCU
rnacentral:lncRNA from 1 species